rnacentral:rRNA from 1 species
UGGCGGCGUGCCUAAUACAUGCAAGUCGAGCGAGCUGAAUUCAAAGAUCCCUUCGGGGUGAUUUGUUGGAUGCUAGCGGCGGAUGGGUGAGUAACACGUGGGCAAUCUGCCCUAAAGACUGGGAUACCACUUGGAAACAGGUGCUAAUACCGGAUAACAACAUGAAUCGCAUGAUUCAAGUUUGAAAGGCGGCGUAAGCUGUCACUUUAGGAUGAGCCCGCGGCGCAUUAGCUAGUUGGUGGGGUAAAGGCCUACCAAGGCAAUGAUGCGUAGCCGAGUUGAGAGACUGAUCGGCCACAUUGGGACUGAGACACGGCCCAAACUCCUACGGGAGGCAGCAGUAGGGAAUCUUCCACAAUGGACGCAAGUCUGAUGGAGCAACGCCGCGUGAGUGAAGAAGGUUUUCGGAUCGUAAAGCUCUGUUGUUGGUGAAGAAGGAUAGAGGCAGUAACUGGUCUUUAUUUGACGGUAAUCAACCAGAAAGUCACGGCUAACUACGUGCCAGCAGCCGCGGUAAUACGUAGGUGGCAAGCGUUGUCCGGAUUUAUUGGGCGUAAAGCGAGCGCAGGCGGAAUGAUAAGUCUGAUGUGAAAGCCCACGGCUCAACCGUGGAACUGCAUCG